rnacentral:rRNA from 1 species
AUUGAACGCUGGCGGCAUGCUUUACACAUGCAAGUCGAACGGUAACAGGCCGCAAGGUGCUGACGAGUGGCGAACGGGUGAGUAAUGCAUCGGAACGUGCCCAGUCGUGGGGGAUAACGCAGCGAAAGCUGCGCUAAUACCGCAUACGAUCUAUGGAUGAAAGCGGGGGACCGUAAGGCCUCGCGCGAUUGGAGCGGCCGAUGUCAGAUUAGGUAGUGGGUGGGGUAAAGGCUCACCAAGCCAACGAUCUGUAGCUGGUCUGAGAGGGCGACCAGCCACACUGGGACUGAGACACGGCCCAGACUCCUACGGGAGGCAGCAGUGGGGAAUUUUGGACAAUGGGCGCAAGCCUGAUCCAGCAAUGCCGCGUGCAGGAAGAAGGCCUUCGGGUUGUAAAUUGCUUUUGUACGGAACGAAAAGGCUCUGGUUAAUACCUGGGGCUCAUGACGGUACCGUAAGAAUAAGCACCGGCUAACUACGUGCCAGCCGCCGCGGUAACAC